UUUUUCGGCCAUACCACCUUGAACAUGGCAGAUCUCAUCUGAUCUCGGAAGCUAAGCAGGGUUGGCCCUGGUUAGUACUUGGAUGGGGCUUCCCCGGUGGCUCAGAUGGUAAAGCAU
ensembl:rRNA 5S_rRNA 5S ribosomal RNA